rnacentral:tRNA from 1 species
UCCCUGGUGGCUUAGACAGUAAAGCAUCUGUCUACGAUGUGGGAGACCCAGGUUCGAUCCCUGGGUUGGGAA